UUUGACAGACAAUCGCCGGCGGCUGAAGAGCCGCGGGAGGAAAGUCCGGGCUCCAUAGGGCAGGGUGCUGGAUAACGUCCAGUCAGCGCGAGCUGAAGGAUAGUGCCACAGAAAUGGACCGCCGAUGGCCGCCGCAAGGCGUGCACAGGCAAGGAUGGAACCGAGGUGUAAGAGACCCCGAGGAACGCUGGUGACUUCGUUCCUGGUAAACCCCACCUGGAGCAAGACCUAAUGGAACGCAGCUUCUUCGCGAAGCGGCCUUUGCCCGAGGCGCGUUCGGGUUGGUUGCUGGAGCCGCCCAGUAAUGUGCGGCCUAGAUAGAUGAUUGUCGCUCAAGGCGGGAGGGUAGUUCCCGUUCUACCGCAACGAGUACAGAACCCGGCUUACGG
rnacentral:RNase_P_RNA from 1 species